CUACACACGUGCUACAAUGGUCGGUACAGAGGGCUGCGAACCAGCGAUGGUGAGCGAAUCCCUUAAAACCGAUCGUAGUCCGGAUUGGAGUCUGCAACUCGACUCCAUGAAGUCGGAAUCGCUAGUAAUCGCGAAUCAGAAUGUCGCGGUGAAUACGUUCCCGGGCCUUGUACACACCGCCCGUCACACCAUGGGAGUUGGUUUCACCCGAAGAUCGUGCGCUAACCUUUUAGGAGGCAGCGAGCCACGGUGGGAUCAGCGACUGGGGUGAAGUCGAAACAAGGU
rnacentral:rRNA from 14 species